rnacentral:rRNA from 1 species
AUUGAACGCUGGCGGCAGGCCUAACACAUGCAAGUCGAACGAGUGGCGGACGGGUGAGUAAUGUCUGGGAAACUGCCCGAUGGGGGGGGAUAACUACUGGAAACGGUAGCUAAUACCGCAUACCAUCGGAUGUGCCCAGAUGGGAUUAGCUAGUAGGUGGGGUAACGGCUCACCUAGGCGACGAUCCCUAGCUGGUCUGAGAGGAUGACCAGCAACACUGGAACGGAGACACGGUCCAGACUCCUACGGGAGGCAGCAGGGGGGAAUAUUGCACAAGGGGCGAAAGCCGGAUGCAGCCAUGCGGCUUGUAGGAAGAAGGCCUUCGGGUUGUAAAGUACUUUCAGCGAGGAGGCGUUACUCGCAGAAGAAGCAACGGCUAACUCCGUGCCAGCAGCCGCGGUAAUAC